rnacentral:misc_RNA from 1 species
AACGCACCUUGCGCCCCUUGGUAUUCCGAGGGGCAUGCCUGUUUGAGUGUCAUGAAAUUCUCAACCUCUUCAGUUUUGUAAUAAAAAUUGAAAAGGCUUGGACUUGGAGGCUGCUGGCUUUAUUAUAAAAGUACGGCUCCUCUUAAAUACAUUAGUGCGAAAGUUUGUAUAUCGCUCUUUGGUGUGAUAAUUAUCUACGCCAUGAGUGUAUUAUACAUAUUAUACUUUGUGCUUCUAAUCAGUCCUUAUUUAAUAAUAGGGACAUAAGUGUGUAACAACACUUGACCAUCUGACCUCAAAUCAGGUAGGACUACCCGCUGAACUUAA